rnacentral:rRNA from 1 species
AAUAGAUACCCGGGUAGUCCCAGCCGUAAACGAUGCUCGCUAGGUGUCAGGCAUGGCGCGACCGUGUCUGGUGCCGCAGGGAAGCCGUGAAGCGAGCCACCUGGGAAGUACGGCCGCAAGGCUGAAACUUAAAGGAAUUGGCGGGGGGAGCACAACAACGGGUGGAGCCUGCGGUUUAAUUGGACUCAACGCCGGACAACUCACCGGGGGGCGACAGCAAUAUGUAGGCCAAGCUGAAGACUUUGCCUGAAUCGCUGAGAGGAGGUGCAUGGCCGUCGCCAGUUCGUACUGUGAAGCAUCCUGUUAAGUCAGGCAACGAGCGAGACCCGUGCCCACUGUUACCAGCAUGUCCUCCGGGACGAUGGGUACUCUGUGGGGACCGCCGAUGUUAAAUCGGAGGAAGGUGCGGGCCACGGUAGGUCAGUAUGCCCCGAAUCUCCCGGGGCUCCACGCGGGCUACAAUGGAUGGGACAAUGGGUCCCUCCCUGAAAAGGCUGGUAAUCUCACAAACCCAUUCGUAGUUCGGAUCGAGGGCUGUAACUCGCCCG